GGUGAACGCUGGCGGCGUGCCUAACACAUGCAAGUCGAGCGGCAGCGAGGGGUGCUUGCACCCUGUCGGCGAGCGGCGGACGGCUGAGUAACGCGUGGGAACGUGCCCCAAAGUGAGGAAUAACUGCCCGAAAGGGUAGCUAAUACCGCAUAUUAUCUUCGGAUCAAAGGAUUUAUCCGCUUUGGGAGCGGCUCGCGUCGGAUUAGGUAGUUGGUGAGGUAAUGGCUCACCAAGCCGACGAUCCGUAGCUGGUCUGAGAGGAUGACCAGCCAGACUGGAACUGAGACACGGUCCAGACUCCUACGGGAGGCAGCAGUGAGGAAUCUUCCACAAUGGGCGAAAGCCUGAUGGAGCAACGCCGCGUGCAGGACGAAGGCCUUCGGGUUGUAAACUGCUUUUAUAAGUGAGGAAUAUGACGGUAACUUAUGAAUAAGGAUCGGCUAACUACGUG
rnacentral:rRNA from 1 species